GCCCGCCAAACUACUACGAGUGAAAACUUAAAACUUAAAAGACUUGACGGUACUUCACAUUCAACCUAGAGGAGCCUGUCUACUAACCGAUAACCCACGAUUAACCCUACCCCUUCUGGCCACCCAGCCUAUAUACCGCCGUCGCCAGUCCACCUUGUAAAAGAAACUAAGUGGGCUCAACAGUAUCACACUAACACGACAGGUCGAGGUGUAGCUUAUGAAGCGGACUAAGAUGGGCUACAUUUUCUAACCUAGACCACACGGACAAAGCCAUGAAACCAACUCCACAAGGCGGAUUUAGCAGUAAGUUAGAGACACAAUACCUGACUGAAACCAAUGCAAUGAAGUGCGUACACACCGCCCGUCAUCCCUGCCAUAAUAAACCAACCCUACAUAACACCCAUAAUAAAUAUAACCAGGGCAAGUCGUAACAUGGUAAGCGUACUGGAAAGUGCGCUUAGAAA
rnacentral:rRNA from 1 species